rnacentral:rRNA from 1 species
AUUGAACGCUGGCGGCAGGCCUAACACAUGCAAGUCGAACGCGUGGCGGACGGGUGAGUAAUGUCUGGGACACUGCCCGAUGGAGGGGUAUCACUACUGGAAACGGUAGCUAAUACCGCAUACCCUCGGAUGUGCCCAGAUGGGAUUAGCUGGUAGGUGGGGUAACGGCUCACCUAGGCGACGAUCCCUAGCUGGUCUGAGAGGAUGACCAGCCACACUGGAACUGAGACACGGUCCAGACUCCUACGGGAGGCAGCAGUGGGGAAUAUUGCACAAUGGGCGCAAGCCUGAUGCAGCCAUGCCGCGUGUAUGAAGAAGGCCUUCGGGUUGUAAAGUACUUUCAGCGAGGAGGCGUUACCCGCAGAAGAAGCACCGGCUAACUCCGUGCCAGCAGCCGCGGUAAUUC